GGGGGUGGAGCUCAGCGGUGGAGCGUAUGCAUGAGGUCCCGGGUUCAAUUCCCAGGAUCUCCA
rnacentral:tRNA from 1 species